rnacentral:rRNA from 1 species
AGCGAACGCUGGCGGCAGGCUUAACACAUGCAAGUCGAGCGGGCACUUUCGGGUGUCAGCGGCGGACGGGUGAGUAACGCGUGGGAACGGGCGCUCUGGUUCGGAAUAACUCAGGGAAACUUGAGCUAAUAGCGGAUACGACCUUUUGGGGAAAGGCUUGCUGCCGGAGGAUGGGGCCGCGUCUGAUUAGCUAGUUGGUGGGGUAACGGCUCACCAAGGCGACGAGCAGUAGCGGGUCUGGGAGGAUGAUCAGCCACACUGGGACUGAGACACGGCCCAGACUCCUACGGGAGGCAGCAGUGCGGAAUAUUGGACCAUGGGCGCAAGCCUGAUGCAGCCAGGCCUCGUGAGUGAUGAAGGCCUUAGGGUUGUAAAGCUCUUUUAUCCGGGACGAUAAUGACGGUACCGGAAGAAUAAGCCCCGGCUAACUUCGUG